GUCCAGACUCCUACGGGAGGCAGCAGUGGGGAAUAUUGCACAAUGGGGGGAACCCUGAUGCAGCGACGCCGCGUGAGCGAUGAAGUAUUUCGGUAUGUAAAGCUCUAUCAGCAGGGAAGAAAAUGACGGUACCUGACUAAGAAGCCCCGGCUAACUACGUGCCAGCAGCCGCGGUAAUACGUAGGGGGCAAGCGUUAUCCGGAUUUACUGGGUGUAAAGGGAGCGUAGACGGCAGCGCAAGUCUGAAGUGAAAUGCCGGGGCUUAACCCCGGAACUGCUUUGGAAACUGUGCGGCUGGAGUGCAGGAGGGGUAAGCGGAAUUCCUAGUGUAGCGGUGAAAUGCGUAGAUAUUAGGAGGAACACCGGUGGCGAAGGCGGCUUACUGGACUGUAACUGACGUUGAGGCUCGAAAGCGUGGGGAGCAAACAGGAUUAGAUACCCCGGUA
rnacentral:rRNA from 1 species